rnacentral:rRNA from 1 species
GAUGAACGCUGGCGGCGUGCCUAAUACAUGCAAGUCGAGCGAACGGACGAGAAGCUUGCUUCUCUGAUGUUAGCGGCGGACGGGUGAGUAACACGUGGAUAACCUACCUAUAAGACUGGGAUAACUUCGGGAAACCGGAGCUAAUACCGGAUAAUAUUUUGAACCGCAUGGUUCAAAAGUGAAAGACGGUCUUGCUGUCACUUAUAGAUGGAUCCGCGCUGCAUUAGCUAGUUGGUAAGGUAACGGCUUACCAAGGCAACGAUGCAUAGCCGACCUGAGAGGGUGAUCGGCCACACUGGAACUGAGACACGGUCCAGACUCCUACGGGAGGCAGCAGUAGGGAAUCUUCCGCAAUGGGCGAAAGCAUGACGGAGCGACGCCGCGUGAGUGAUGAAGGUCUUCGGAUCGUAAAACUCUGUUAUUAGGGAAAAACAUAUGUGUAAGUAACUGUGCACAUCUUGACGGUACCUAAUCAGAAAGCCACGGCUAACUACGUG